UGAGCAAUCUGCCCUUCUCAUCGGAAUAAGCGUUGGAAACGACGUCUAAUGCCGAAUACGACCUCCUUUCGCAUGAUCGGAGGUGGAAAGCUCCGGCGGAGAAGGAUGAGCUCGCGGCCUAUCAGCUAGUUGGUGUGGGUAAUGGCCCACCAAGGCGACGACGGGUAGCCGGCCUGAGAGGAUGACCGGCCACACUGGGACUGAGACACGGCCCAGACUCCGUAGGAGG
rnacentral:rRNA from 1 species